UCUGAUUUGCAGGACCAAGAAUCUUCUGUGACAUAAUCCUAGCAGUAGCCAAAGGGAACAGAGACUGCCCUGGCCCCUUCAGGUCGGACCUAUUGAGUUCCGCUGAACACUGAGGCUCUGUAUUCCACAUUGCUACGGAGGGCCAAGAGCCCAUCACAUGACUGACUGGGCUGAAAAAUAUCCUUUUUUUUGAACGAGAACUAAAGGCUCCCAGGUUCGCCUUAAAAACCACGUUGUUUAAACUGUGAAUUAAUGAACUCCAUGGUGAUUUGCUUAUUUCUUUGCUCACUUCACAACACAAAAUAGAAUUAAUUUGACACUGUCAUAACUUCCUAAUAUGAGGUGCACCAAGCCUAGAAUAAUUAAUUUUUCUCAGAGAAUGGAAUGUUCUGUUAGACUUGCCAUUGGGAACCUCCUGGGAGCUAACUCACAAAGGAGUGACAAGGUACAGGCUCCACCCUGAGUCAUCGAUUCCUCCCCCUGGGCUGGAAUUCAACCCAAGGCUGCAUUUGUGCUACUUGAGUGACCUGCCACUCAGGUGCACUCUCGGGUCUGGGGAAAGAAUUCCUGCAAAUGAGAGGCCGCCAUGUCUUCCAGGCUUCAGAUGCCGUUCGAAGGGUGCUGUGCUAACCUCGGUCUGAAUUACUUCACUCCUCCCUAACGUUCUGAAACAGACAGGAUUGUUACUGUCUCUAUCUAAAAGGUUAGGCCAGGAUUUGCCAUCACGACGCGGGUUUGACGUCAACUCUAGCAGAGAGGUGCUUAGGUGGCUGGUACCCUUGUCUGAGCUCAGCAUGCUGGAAAUGGCAGUGUGGCGGAGGGCUGACAGACGCCUUUGAUGACUCUAGGAGGACUUGAUAACGGGCGGGGAUUUCCCAAACUGAAGAAUGGAUCAGAAGGUGUACCCCUAGCUGCACUGGCUGUGGAAACAGAUGCACUAACUUCAGAACUUAAAGCGUCCUCUUCGGCUGCGGAGAGGGUUUCGCAGGUAAAGGCUCUUUCUGCCAAACUGACUCACAUGGAGAAAAGAACUAACCCUGUUGUCUGGUUUCCACAUGCACACCGUGACAUAAGAAUGCAGUCAAAAUAAAAAUAAAUAAAUGUAAA